UACGAAGGUGGCGAGCGUUGUUCGGAAUCACUGGGCUUAAAGAGCACGUAGGCGGGCUGCCAAGCGUCUUGUGAAAGCCCUCGGCUCAACCGAGGAAUGGCUUGGCGAACUGGCAGCCUUGAGGCAGGUAGGGGCACACGGAACUCUUGGUGGAGCGGUGGAAUGCGUAGAUAUCAAGAGGAACGCCGGUGGCGAAGGCGGUGUGCUGGGCCUGACCUGACGCUGAGGUGCGAAAGCCAGGGGAGCGAACGGGAUUAGAUACCCGCGUA
rnacentral:rRNA from 1 species